UUUUUUUUUUUUAAUUUUGAUGAUAAAUUUAAGCAAAUAAGACGCUUAGAAUAUCUAAAUCCAAAUUAUGUUUAAUGUGACUUACAAAAAGUCUACAAGCCCAUCGGACUUCCUGAUUUUUAAUUUUCACUGGCCCGACCGUCAAAUUCACUGGCCUCCGUCUUCGGACCACUGAGUUUUCGUGAAGACUGUAUACCUAUAGUAAAUGUGUCCUACCUUUAUAUACCUAUAGUAAAUGUGUCCUACCUUAAUACACCUGUAGUAAAUGUGUCAUACCUUUAUAUACCUAUAGUAAAUGUGUCCUACCUUUAUACACCUGCAGUAAAUGUAUCAUACCUUUAUACACCUGUAGUAAAUGUAUCAUACCUUUAUAUACCUAUAGUAAAUGUGUCUUACCUUUAUACACCUGUAGUAAAUGUGUCCUACCUUUAUACACCUGUAGUAAAUGUGUCCCAACUUUCGACACCUGUAGUAAAUGUUUUCUACCUAACUGAAGAAAACAUUUUCUAAUGUACGCACACAUUGGUAGUAAUCAGAUACCUACCUUUAAACAGGUAUAAUGUAUAAACCGAAGUGAUCCUGAGCAACGACAUGGAGAGAACAGGGGGUCCGGGAUGUCCCCCGGGAGCUGGCAGAUCCGACAGAUAGGUAAUAGGUCAGUCCCUGCCACAGAUCCCUCCCGAGAGAUAAACUUUUUCUUCUGUGGUAAUGGGGUGAGGUUGGCACUUCCUAUGGUGUGUAUGCUGGCAAUGGUAAUGUUGGAGCUGCCAAGCUGUACCAGAGUUGGAUCAGGAGGUUCCACCUCCAUAGCGCACUCAACUUUCAAGUUCCUGAAAUUGAUUAAAUUUUGUUUCAAAAUUUUGAAAAGAACCAAACUUUGUCUGAUAUGUAUAUUCAAUAUGAAUGGAAACUGGAUAUGACUGGACUGCAUUCAUGAAUAUAUCAAUUACACCCACAUGAUGACAAUACAAUGGAGCAUUAUGUCAUAGAUCUUUUUGUAAUGUUGUACAUGUCAUAUGAGGUAACUGUCAAAGAAUUAUUUUUUUCAACCUGAGAAAAAUGUGUCAAGUUUUUCGCUACUUUCUAGACCAUUCACAGAUUUGAAUGACAUUGUAAUAAGACUGUAGGGUGGUGGAUGGGGUCAUGCUAAUCAGGAAUGCUAAUGAAUCAUAAUGCAAUGGGGACAAAUAUCUAGUUUUACAUACAUUGGGGUCAAUAUCAUGAUUGAAAUACAUUGGGGUCAAUACCACAAACAAUUAGGUUCACUGAAUUCCAUAACACCUAACCUGUGAGGACCAAGUAGGGUUGUUUGUAUUUGUGGCAUUAGUCUUGACCUGAGUGAUAAAAAUUAUGAAGCACAUCCAAAAUAAUAGAUUAGUAUUGUUACACUUUCCAGUCACUGAAAUUAUAUAGUUGUUCAAUUAACAGGUACAACAAUAAGAAAGGAAUCCACCCACCCCUUUCUUUUGUUUCUAAUUUUGUGCUGACCUGUUUGUUGUCCCAGAGGUUGUCAUAUUGUUUUUCUGCUGAGCUUUUUGUAAACCUAAAUGCUAUACUAUAAAUCAUAUGGACACCUCACCGCUGUCUCUAAUCUAUGCAUGGUUAUAAUGCAUUUUGAUACAACGAUUUAACAAUUUAAAUUAAUUCUGCUAAAAGCAGGUCAUUGUCAAUCUAUCAAUUUAAAAGAAUUUACCAUUAAACUUUUUUAAGUCUGGAGAUUAUUUAGCAUGAUGCAAUAAACAUAUCUAGAUCUUUAAUUAUCAAGGCACCAAUUUUGGUUUAAAAUUUCAGCUCAAUUCUUUAAAUGCAUAUAUAUUACCUCACUUACCUUAGUACUAAGUUAAAAUGAUUAGAAUUACAAAUUUAAAACAAUGAAAUCCACACAGAAAUUGAAAUAAAGUACAGAGCCUCAAGAUGCUGUCCUUGCUAAUCAGUAUUCACACACACCUUAGUUAUACUAAGCUUUUGUCUUCAGACUGGGGGGCUAGUUCUACUGUGUUCAUUGUAUUCCUCUGAGGUCACACAGAGUCGGGUCUCUUAAGAUUUAAAUAGGUCAUCAACCUUGGUAUGUCCUCAAGUAACACCACAGUUAGAACUGAUGUAUAUAUAGCAAUGUCUGUCCAUAUAAUUUCUUAUCUGUCCCAUUUCUUCAAUCCUAUGUCCUCAUUCUGUUUUCCAGAUGUCAACUCAGAGCUUUGAACUCAUACCAAAUUACUUUCAGGACCUUCAGAAUUAUUUUUUUUUCACUUUGUCAUAGCUAGUAUGUCAAGUUAGGUUAUCAACUGUCACCUGAAAACUGGGUUAAAUAUGUCAACAGAGCACGUUCACUCCACCUCAAGCUGAUUGAGCAGGAAUUUGGAAGUGCAAGUGUUCUCAACAAACUUUGAAUGUCUGGUGGUGUAAGGGCAUAAAAGCUUUUGCUGCAUAUCAAAUAGGUAUGCAAAAACAAAUUGCAUACCAAUUAUAACUAACCAUUGCAUUACCUUCAACAUCAUGCCUCAAAAUUCAUCUUUCAAUUAUAAUUGAACAAAUUUUCAACAAUGGAAAAUAAGCUUGACGGAAAAUAAUGAAAAUUGUUUAUUUCAAAAGAAUCCCCAAGAUGAAAAUCAACAAUAUGCAAUCUAAAAUGACCAACAACAUGGCAGACCCAAUCAGAAUCCCUCGUCCUUCACUCCGUAUCAAGUCUUUUUACAGAGUAUAGGAUGAAGGAUUCCAAUUAAUGACAGGCCUUGUAGACAUUUAGUGCAUAAGUAAUUAAGUAUGUCAAGGUUGGAAAAAUAAAUCAGCCUAAUCUCCUGUUUCCAAUACAAACCUGAAAUAUUUUCAUGAUCCAUUUUAAAAAUAUGGAAAUUCAUAUAUAUAUCCCAGUCAUUUAUAUAGAAUUAAAGCAUAUCGAUUAUCUAAUAUCAUCUGCUCAAAAAAACCUGCCAAAAUUUUAUGCAACAUCUUCCACAAAAAUAUUUCUUUCAAAAUUUCUUUUGAAAAUGAUGGCUGUAGUUAAAACAAAAAUUGUACUGGUACACCAUCUCAAUAAAAGAAAUAUCAUAACUGGAAAAUAAAGAAUUGAAAACCAUCAUACAAUGACAUACAUGUGCCUGAUGUGAACACAUUACAUUGAUGUUCUCGAUUGCCAGUACUGAAUUUAAAACAUUAACAUCCCAAAUUUUCUGAAAUUUUAUUCACUCCCUGUUAUUUGUUCCUCAGACAUUUGGCAUAUAUUCCAUUGUUAAAUACACAUUGAAAAUGAUAGUAGAAAAAGAAUGUUAUUUACACCACUUAAUUUGUUCUAACCCUUAGGUCAGUGACAUUCUCAGCAAGAAACUGUGUCAAUCCAUCUUCCCCAAUUCAACAGAGUCAUUUGUACAUUAUUUAUCUAAUAUUAUGACUUAUAAGUUAUUAUAAACUGAUAGUGCAUGUUAUGAAUUACAGUAUUUACCAUAAUGGUUACUUAAACAUUUAAAAUAAAUAACACAGACUAUAAUGACCAAAUAAUUUUCAAUCGACCAGUAUUAACCAGUAUUGACCGGUUUUAACCAUAUUGACCACUGGCCCGGUCAAUACUCAUAUUGACCACUUUUUUGCCAACCCUGAUUUUUAAACAAGGGGUGGAAAAGAAUCAACUCGAUGUGUAAUUUCUCUUUUUUCUCUGUGCACCUUUGGUGGUCAGUUUCUCCGAACCAAACUUUGUUGUUGCAUUUAGUAUCGGGUUCAAAAAAAAAAUCCAAGUUUUGUUACAAAUGUACCAGUAACAAUUUCAUUUAAUCGUUGUUUAUCGCAGUCUUCGUAAUUGCUAAGUAAGUUCUGGGUGGCAAUCUUUUACAGCCAGACACAUUUUUGCUUUUCUUUUCUGCAAACUCUGUCUUUAAAAUAACUGUUCUUUUAGAAUCAUCAUGCUGAAAACAGCUGACAAAUCAAUGUAAUACUUGCAAGGUUUUCAAUGGUAUAUCUUGCAUCUUCAGCAAUUGUAAUUUUCAUGUGAUAAAACUGUAAUUUUAGUGCUUUUUUUAAUAUGUCUAUAGGAAUUUAUUGUGGUCUACAGGAAAUAAAAUGAUGCAGACUGAAUGUCUACAGGAUUUUAAAAUUAGUUUCGCACACUGCUACACUCUUAUUUCUUUUGUAAAAUGCAAUUUGAUUGGUUCAUUUGAUUUUAUCAACAUUCUUUACGUACAUCAUAUAAACUAACAUUCCAUAUAAGUCCUGCCAUAUGAUGUCCCUAUGAAAGACACUUACAAUAAUUUUGGCUCCAUUUCCAUUUUCCUCAGAACUACGAAAUUUCAGAAAUAGCAUAAAAAAUGUCUACUAAUAUUUAGAUAUUGUGAAAAUAUAAUUGAUAUACAAUAACAACCCACACACAAAUUAAAGUCGCUAGGCUAAUGAAUUAUUUAUUUUGCUUUGAAGUUCUAUUUCAAUUCAAUCAAAUUGUAUUCAACUUUAAUAUCAUCAGCAAUUUGUAGAAUAAAUUUACAAUACCUAAAAGAUGUAAUAAUAAUGUCAAUACAAUGACUUUUGAUGUAGCUCGUCAAAAGACAUUUCAAUUAAGACAGAUCAAUGCUCCACUAUGAGCAGCUACGAUAUUUCCAAGUACUUAUGCAAUGACUGAAUAUAUUGAUUAGAUCUAAAUUUAAUCACCUUCCUCCAAUGGGCAAGAAGAUGUGUGGUUUUGUUUUUUUUAAAUAGAAUGUAUUGUUAUCAUUAUGCAGUUUAUGUAAAAUUAUGAGCUCUGUACGUAGAGCUCAUGUUAUUUGUUCUGUAUUGCACACAGUGCCGACUUUCAAUAAAAUCUACUUACUUAC